UAGAGUUUGAUCCUGGCUCAGAUUGAACGCUGGCGGCAGGCUUAACACAUGCAAGUCGAACGGUAACAUAAAGAAGCUUGCUUCUUUGAUGACGAGUGGCGGACGGGUGAGUAAUGCUUGGGAAUCUAGCUUAUGGAGGGGGAUAACUACGGGAAACUGUAGCUAAUACCGCGUAGAAUCGAGAGAUGAAAGUGUGGGACCUUCGGGCCACAUGCCAUANGAUGAGCCCAAGUGGGAUUAGGUAGUUGGUGAGGUAAAGGCUCACCAAGCCGACGAUCUCUAGCUGGUCUGAGAGGAUGACCAGCCACACUGGGACUGAGACACGGCCCAGACUCCUACGGGAGGCAGCAGUGGGGAAUAUUGCGCAAUGGGGGCAACCCUGACGCAGCCAUNCCGCGUGAAUNAAGAAGCCCUUCGGGUUGUAAAGUUCUUUCGGUAGCGAGGAAGGCAUUUAGUUUAAUAGACUAGGNGAUUGACGUUNACUACAGAAGAAGCNCNGGCUAACUCCGGGCCAGCAGCCNNUUUANUACGGAGGUGCAANCAUNAAUCGGAAAACUGGGNGUAAGGCCNNNAGUUGUNANUUANNUANGGGUGAANCCCCC
rnacentral:rRNA from 1 species